rnacentral:SRP_RNA from 1 species
CCGUCAGGUCCGGAAGGAAGCAGCGGUA